CUGGGUGUGGCGCAGUUUGGUAGCGCGCUUGAAUGGGGUUCAAGAGGUCGGGAGUUCAAGUCUCCCCACUCAGACCA
rnacentral:tRNA from 1 species